CUCGGAGAGGAAGGAUCUUCUGUAGGCAGCAGGAAGAAGCUCCAGCACACCCUUAGAAACGGGAGGGCGCGGUCCCGGGCACGACGGCUACCUGCAACAGUCAACAGCACGGUGGACUGCUCCAGCCGGACUCCAGCCGCCGCCGCCGCCGCCGCCGCCGUCGUCGUCACCGUCCUUUCUGCUCCUGCGUGCGCGAGCUGCUCGCCGCUGCCGGACCCGUCGGAUCACCCGGAUAAAGGCAACGCGUCCACCGUGCGUGCUGGCCACCGCCGCCGCCGCGCUGGAGGCUCCAGGAGCGGCUCCGGCGGCACGCGUUCACCUGGAGGUCACGCGUACCGGACACGCAAAAUGGUCUGUUUGCUGAAAUAGAAAUGGACCUUUGUAAAUUCCGCAAAAUGUUUGCGCUUACUAUAGCUGCUGUCUUUUACUAAUAUGGUAUCAGAAAAAAAAAAAUAGAAAUUUUUUUGCUGUUCUAUAUUACUGGAACAGCAAGCAGUUUGCUAAAUUUUUAUUCCAGCAAACACACCAUUUUGCGUGAAGAACAGAAGCCAACAACAACCAAUACGGUUGCUCAACGUGGAAUGAAAGCCAUAAUCGAACUUUCUAAUGGACAUUUUACGAUAGUCUAGCAGAAAUCUGAGCCUUCAAGGUAGAGUGCCUCCCCUGCUCUCGUCGUCACCCCGCACCCUGGCGACACGCCCCAACCGCCGGCAGACACCCCCGAGGCCCCUCCGCCCCG